AUAUAUAUCUCGAACGUUAAAAAAGCGGAAAAAUUUUGACAGGAAGCGAAUGUAGAAAUAUUUUCCGAGCCCUGUUCUAGCAUUUGAAUGGCAUUUUAUAUAACUGCUGCAUUUUUAUCCAUUAUCGGUGUGGUGUCAUUGGGGUAUAUUGAUGGAUCCCAAUGUAGCAAUCCCUUUGACAAGCUGUUCAAUGAUAGAGAUGUUAAACAGCUAUUGGGAGAGGUACUCGGUAAUUCAUCUUGGUUAUACGAAAUGUUCUCUGCAGAUAGUUUUACAACAGCAGAAGCUGACUGCAAAGGAAAUACCAGUUGUAGAGUAGAACUUAUAUUCCAAAAUAGAAAUAAGAUGGAAUUGUGCAUUUUGUUGGAAAAGAGAGAAUGUUUUUCACUGAACUGUACAUGUGCGGAAUAUCAAAAUAGAGGAACCAAUCUAAAUCGCGGUGACAGUGAGUUAAAAUGCAACCAUAAGAAAAAAAAAGUAAUGUCGAACGCGUGUGACAAAGAGGGGGAACAAUUUAACACCACUGAUGAGACAGCUAAAGAUGACAAUAAAACAAAUCAUGUAAUGGUGAUAGAAUCAAAUAAACAAAAUAACAUCCGCAAUAACACAAGAGGAAAUGGAUCAAACCUAAGAAAUAAAGAUAAAAACAAAUUUAAACUAUUACCAAUGGCAAUAGCAUUCAUAUUGGGAACAAUUGUUGGUUCGGCGGUGUCCAUUAUUGCAAUCAACUUAUGCAAUUCAAGAACGAUAAGGCAAAUUCAAAACCAUCAGCAAACAGAUUUAUGUGAGGAUAUGGCAUUACAUAGUAAAUUCUCGUGUGAAACCUCAGAGUACUCUGAAAUUCCAGAAUACAGUAGGAACAAGCUUGGUGCAGGUUUUCGCGAAUAUUUGGAACCUUUGCCAAAGAAUAACACUGUGUCGAGAGAAACAAUUCCUCUUGAAAACCUUUACGAGAAGGAUGAAAGCAGCCAAUACCAAGAAGUAUCAUUAGACAGAGGAAACGCCAACCAUAAUAUUUAUCACCAUCUCCAACCAAACAAUUCAACCAAUCAACAAGUGCCAAUAAAAAAAGAAGAAAGUAGUGUCAACCCGCUUUACGACACUUUGGCUUUAGUUGAUAGAGAAAAUAAAGUUGAUAUCAAUUCUGAUGAAAAUUCCCGUGAUGCUGCGCCGAGUUUGUUGAAUGAUAAUUCUCCUAGCAAUUCUGAUGCGAAAACAGAACACAUUCAGAAAGAUGAAAUAUCAAGUGGAAGUCCUUAUUUGAUGUGUGAAAAUAAAGAACAAAUAACAGAGAAAGUAGAGACUGAUGAAGGAUCAGAUGAACUUAAAGUAAAUUCUAACAUCGAUAAUACUUACUUUGUACUGCAGAAAAAGGAAUAGUUAUGAUAGUUGUUUAUAAACGUUUUCAACAACUGAACAUGUAGACUUUGUAUAUUCCUUUGAUUGAAGAACAAUUUAUUGAUUUACAAAACUCCGUGUAUCAUGAAAAUAUUUUGCAGAGGAUUUGAUUUUUUGGUUGAGUUUUGCUUCACCUGAUCAUACGACUCGCAUGAACCUUCUGAUUUUUAAGUUGUCUAUUGUACACAUAUUUUUUUCGUUGGUAUAAACUUUACAUGUAUCCUU
rnacentral:misc_RNA from 1 species